rnacentral:tRNA from 1 species
GCAGCGCCAGCCGGUGGACCAGGCCGUCGUUGAGCACGGCGAGCCGGAUGCCGGUCAGCGUCAGUUCGGGCGCGUUGCGCUGCGC